rnacentral:tRNA from 1 species
GCCGGCGUGGCGGAACAGGCAGACGCACAGGACUUAAAAUCCUGCGGGACUCAACUCCCGUACCGGUUCGAUUCCGGUCGCCGGCA